AAAAAUGAUAUUCUCAUGUUUGUGAAAUAUUUUGUCAGCAAAUUCUUAGUUCACAAACACUUGAAAUGUUCUGCUGCAUUGUUUGUUCCAGAGUCAGAGAGCCGUGUCUCUGUACAGUCAGAGGUUUUUGUACGGCGGUUCAAUGAGUUUGUAUCACUGUGGUACACGUUCGGUGGAGGAACCAGACUGGAAGUUAACUUGGGUCAAGUCCAUCCCACCCUGACGGUGCUGCCCCCCUCCACAGAGGAGCUGCAGCAGGGGAAGGCCACGCUCAUGUGUCUGGCCAACAAGGGCUUCCCCUCAGACUGGAGUCUGUCCUGGAAGGUGGACGGCAGCAGCAGCAGCAGCUAUGAGGACAGCAGGAGCCCCGGGGUGCUGCAGAAAGACGGCCACUACAGCUGGAGCAGCACCCUGAGGCUCUCUGCAGACCAGUGGAGGAAGGUGGGCUCUGUGACCUGUGAGGCCACCCACGGCUCCCAGACUCCACUCUCAGAGACACUGAGGAGAGACCAGUGUUCCCAGUACUGAUCUGAUUUACUGGGACUCUCACAUGUCACUGAUCUUUUGUUUCUUUCUCUUUUUCAAAGCUUUUUUCAAAUUCUUAGUUUCUCUCUUCAGAUGUGUUUCUAUACAAUAAAGAUUUUUAUAUCAAACAGAUUUU